GGUGGCUCAGUGGUAGAAUGCUUGCCUUGCAUGCAAGAGGCCCUGGGUUCGAUUCCUCAGCACCA
rfam:Dipodomys ordii ctg_broad_rename0013912, whole genome shotgun sequence.